rnacentral:rRNA from 1 species
UACGUAGGGACCAAGCGUUGUUCGGAUUUACUGGGCGUAAAGGGCGCGUAGGCGGCAAUUCAAGUCAUCUGUGAAAUCUCCGGGCUUAACUCGGAACGGUCAGAUGAUACUGCUUUGCUAGAGUGCGGAAGGGGCAAUCGGAAUUCUUGGUGUAGCGGUGAAAUGCGUAGAUAUCAAGAGGAACACCUGAGGCGAAGGCGGGUUGCUAGGCUGACACUGACGCUGAGGCGCGAAAGCCAGGGGAGCAAACGGG